rnacentral:rRNA from 1 species
GGGUGCGAUCAUACCAGCACUAAUGCACCGGAUCCCAUCAGAACUCCGCAGUUAAGCGUGCUUGGGCGAGAGUAGUACUAGGAUGGGUGACCCCCUGGGAAGUCCUCGUGUUGCAACCC